ensembl:processed_transcript Gm16551 predicted gene 16551
AGUUGCGUCCCUAAAUGCGCGGCUGGCCUGAGCUAAAGGAGCAGCUCGUCACCGUGCGAGCCGAGACCAGCGUUGGGGUUCUGGGUCACCUCUUUUCUCCCGGCUUUUCCCUCGCUCUCCGGUUCCUGAAUUAGCUGUUUGUUUAUGGCUCCAGACGUGUGUGCCAGCGAGCCGAGGCAGCGUGCAAGGGAGAGAAUUGAUCUUUCCUCAGACUCAAAGCUGGAGCCGAAGAAGUGCGGGGGAUUUGGGGGUUCUGAGUGGGACUCAGACCCUAGGUGCUGAGGGGAAGCUCGUGGGCUCUCUGGCCCGCUUCUCUAACCCCAGCGACCUUGCAGGAAUCCUCAGGCCUGAGAGCGCCCGGGCUCUGGGCUUUGCAGAAAGUGGCGGCGGCUGUGUCCCGGGUUUUAAAAUCAACGCAAAGGAAAGGAGGCAAAGCUGAAAGCUUGUCGCGUGUCAGAAGCAACCUGCCGUGAAAUCCGCUAAUGCGCCCCGACUCGCCCUUCGCGAAUUCUAUUGACCAUGGCUUUCGUCGGAGAGAGAAUUCUAACUACUGCUGCUCUGGGCUCAGAGCUGAGGCUGGAAACAAGUAAAUCUAGCAAGAAUUGAUGGAGACAUGCUGGUGAUUGGAGCCACGUGGCCUUGCAUAGAAACCUGCUUUUUUAUUCUGCCUGCCUUGCUCCAAUUCAGGGAAAAGGUCGGCCCCUUUGGAACAGAUUUGCUUACUUGGAAGGUUGGAUAUACAUUUGGCAAGUUCUUUCCAGCUCUAGCCAGGCUGGGGGAGAAAAUGAGACAAUGGAAGAUUGCUCCACGGGCUUUUGGUCAAAGCUAACCCAAGGCAGGAAUACUUGAAGAAAUAUUAAACCAGACCUUUUGAUUCUGCCACAUGAAGAUCACGUCCUAAAUUUCAACCCCACCCCCACUCCUUCAAGACUCUAGGGCAUUACAGAGCUGCUAGAGUGGAGAUGGUACCCUGAGAUCUGAGUCUGGUUGGCAGUGGGCACCCAGCCUCCAUGACCGAAGCCACAGCCAUAGUGUCCAACUGUGUGAAGAAGGAACCUGUGCCCAGAGAAUAUCUGAUCUUUGAUUCUGGAACUCACAGCUCCAGGUGGCUGAAGAGAGUUAGUCCCUAAAUGAGGCUGGAGAACCGGACAAUGAGAAAGACCAAGUGAGUCCCCCAGGAAGCCAGUCACGGAGUCUGCAUUCCUGUUGCAAGAAGCUGAUGCUGGAGACCCAAAAACUUGACCUGUCAAAGGGUGCUUGCCCAUCUCCCUCCUGGCCUAGUAAGGGACCUUCACCUCACCUCCUCACUGCCUCCAUCUGGGAGAAAGUCACCUCGACUCAAAAGAAAGCAAGUCUAAGUGAAUCAGACCACAGAACCUGUCAGAUUUCCAAGAAACAAGCAACCCAUACCCUUCUCCCUCAGCCCUGACACCUAGAGAGUCCCUGGAAGGGAUGGCUGGCAGGGCUUUCAUUUCAACAAAUACUGGGAGCUAAACCUUCUAGGCCGGUUUCCAGAGCAGCAACAAGAACAUAAAGGAAAGCAAUUAACGGUUUUCUAAAUGAGUCCCAGCUUGUGCCGCCUGACUCCAAACCUAAAGGUGCAUCUAAGGGUGCUAAGGGACCGGGAUAGGUACUAGUUGGUUUUGUUUGUUUGUUUGUUUGUUUGUUUUUCUAAUGAUACUGUUAAAUGUGUGUGAAACCACAGCCAAGAAGCCACAUUGUUCCAGAUUCACGCAGUAAAAUUGUAGGAGUGAGCACUGCAGAUAGCAUGCCCAACAUGGAGUACAGGGAAACAUGGAGUGUGGGAGACAUGGAGAAACUGCAGUGAAUUCUGACACUUACAUUGAACAUGUUGGGAGUUUGGAGGAAGAUACAUUGUGGGCUCUUUUGUGUUUUUUAUGUAGUUUUAAAAACAACCCCCCCCAAACCAGGCUGUUGAUACAAUCAUAGCAUCUCAGAUGUAGCAUAUUUAUAUUUCCCCAAGUAUAUUCACAAGAUAUAUAUAUAGCCUACGUUGGUGUGGAAAACAAACUAACAUUUUGUUGAUUCCAGCACAAACUCUGAAAGCCAAAACAAACAAACAAACCACUCUGGGGGACAAAGGGAGGGUGACUUCAAGCAGUCCUUUCUAUAGGGGUGGCUGGCUGAGGUCUGGGACUGUGGAGUUGAGAAAAAGCUAAGUAGAUCAUCCUGAACUAAAAGUUACCUUGGGAAACAAGACUUGAGAUCCGGGGUUGAGGUCAUGUGGGGGGUCAUCCAGUAUUCCUUUGGAGCAUAGCAUAGCUGAGAACUUAGCAGGACUCAGUCACUUCAGACUGGAGAUUGGGAAAUUUCUUCCCCUGGCGUGCACAGCACCAAACCUGAGUUAAGGUGUCCUUGCCUCUCCCUCAGGAUGCUCCCGACAGAGGUACUGCACUUCCCAACUGCCUUAGGCCCCUCGGGGUGUUGCCAGGCAAAUGAAACAAAAAGAACUCAAUAGUAAAUUAUUUUGUUCAGCCUUCUGUCUUUUUAUGAAAAUAAAAGCCAACACUUUGUCAUUUUUAAUUGCAUAAGCAGACAAUAAAUCUAAUUUCGAUAUUGA